AUACUCUGGUUUCUCGUCUAGUCAAACAAAUCUUUUUGCCUUUUACUAAAGAUUUCCGUGGAGAGAGACAUUAAAAAAUGAUAAAAAAAAAAAAAAAGUUGUGCUUCUCACUAGCAUCU